GCAAUACGGAGCGGCAGACGGGAGAGUAACACGUGGGAACGUGCCCUUCAGUUCGGAACAACCCAGGGAAACUUGGGCUAAUACCGGAUACGUCCGAAAGGAGAAAGAUUUAUCGCUGAAGGAUCGGCCCGCGUCUGAUUAGCUAGUUGGUGAGGUAACGGCUCACCAAGGCGACGAUCAGUAGCUGGUCUGAGAGGAUGAUCAGCCUCACUGGGACUGAGACACGGCCCAGACUCCUACGGGAGGCAGCAAUGGGGAAUAUUGGACAAUGGGCGCAAGCCUGAUCCAGCCAUGCCGCGUGAGUGAUGAAGGCCCUAGGG
rnacentral:rRNA from 1 species